rnacentral:rRNA from 1 species
UACGUAGGGGGCAAGCGUUGUCCGGAAUCAUUGGGCGUAAAGAGCGCGUAGGCGGCCCUGUAAGUCCGCUGUGAAAGUCAAGGGCUCAACCCUUGGAUGCCGGUGGAUACUGCAGGGCUAGAGUCCGGAAGAGGCGAGUGGAAUUCCUGGUGUAGCGGUGAAAUGCGCAGAUAUCAGGAGGAACACCAGUGGCGAAGGCGGUGCUCUGGGCCGGAACUGACGCUGAGGAGCGAAAGCGUGGGGAGCAAACAGG